CUUGAUCAAGCUGGUGACUCAGUGAUAUCUGAAGACUAUCAGAUGGUGUUCCCUGUUAUGUGUGAAGGAUGUCCUAACGAAUGUUAGAACAUUUUGUGAAGUGGCAUUCUGUUCUGGUUAGAAGAGAGAUUGACACCGAGUGUGGAUGUGUUCAACCAAGAGGGUUGAACAGAGGGUGCGCUCUUGAAGACAUGAAGAUGAGUCUUAUGUUUUCCAUUCAUCAAGUGGGUUGAGUUCUUUUUGAAUCAGGAAGUAGGUGAAGGUCCAACCAUGUUGGAUAAGUGUGAUCUCCAGGUUUCAAUAGGAGAGUUGGGUGCUCAUGACAGGGGGAGUUGUGCCUUUGUGCUGCAAGCAAUCACCAAACUUGUGGUCUAUGUGUUCUCAGAUAACUAGUUAGUUAUUGGGAUGAUGUGGUGAGGUAUGUCAAGGCUGGAUGAGCAGAAGAAUGUCUGACCGGAUGUCAUGACAUUGCCCUGGACAAUGCUGUUAAUUUCUUCUGAAUCUUAAAGUCAUUAGGAAUUAUGAGGGUGGUGUGUCUUAUUCUGUUAAAUCAAAAUAAGCCUGAUGGCUACAGAUGUGUGGUACAGGGGGAGUAACCAUCUGCUGAAGUGUGGGUAUUUGGCUGUAGCAGUGCCAGAUGUCAAGUCUCUGCUGGAGGUAUGACAGGGGUCUUGGGAAAUGUUGAAUACUGGCUGAAUGCAGGAAUGUUAAGACAUCGCGUGCAACGUGUCUGACUGCAUAUAUGGAAUAGUCUCCAUUUACUGGAACGGCUGUUUUGGAAAAGAAACAGUCAAGAGCUAUAAAAGGUAUUCAAAGAUAGUCUGAGAUUUUGUUGGUGAUUCUCUGACUGUUUCUCAGCAAAAAUAAAUGAAUCUUGACCAAGCAUUUAUUUCUACCGUAAAUUCCUAAGCGCGGGCUGGACUAUUUAAAGGAAGGAACAACACUCUUCUUCUCACAAGAGAAACACUCCAUUCCCUCAGAAUCAUGGGGUAUGUUAAGGUUUGGGCAAGCUGCGCCUGGAUCUGGUUUUGUGAGGGGUCCCUUUUCAAAUGUUUAGCUAAAAAGGGGGAGAGAAAUACAGUCCUGGGGUUGAGAAUGUAUCAGAAGCAAGCAGACUACUGUGGUAGCAAACAGAAAGUGGGUGUUAGACACAAAAUCCACCAACUGACUUGUGUCUUGUGAUCUGAGUUAAGAGGACAGUUGUGCCUUGUAAUCUGAGUUACAUCAUCUGUGUAAUCAGCAUUACAUACUCUUCAGGAAGCUCUCCUGUUGAGGGGAAGGGUUCCGGUACAACUGUUCCCUGUUCCUCUACUUCCUCAUGUACACUAACAUUGGUGUUCAUGGUGGGGGAGAUAAUAACAGAGGCUUAUUUGUUUUAGCUAAAAUUUGCCAAAGGGGGAGAUUGUUAAUACCUCAGGAUUGACAUUAAUUUUAGAAAAUAAAUAAUGUAAUCAUCUCUGUUGUUUUAAUAUGUUGGGUUGAAGAAAUUCAACAUCUGGACCAACAUGUCAUGUACGAUGUCACGACAUCAGGUCUGUGACAUCGCACAUGUGUAGGAAACUGAAUUAAUUAAUUCAGUAUAUAUUCUGGGAUCAGCAAGGAUAUCUGGUGAAUAUCCUAACUCCCAUGUGGAGGUCUUGAAGACUCAAUCAGAAGAUAUAUAGGCUCAAAAUAUGGAGAUAUAUAUGGAGAGAUUCUAGGAUUGAAGACCUUGUUUGUAGCAGAAUUUUUCUGCUGAAGUUGUAACAGCAAAGAACAAGUCUGCUGCGAUUUCUGAAGGCCCAAAUCCAGUUGGGUGAUUAGGUUAUAAAUAGCUGAUUGUAACCUAGUAUUUGUAAGCCUCCUAGAAUGAAAAUUUAGGGGUGUGUGUGAGGUAAACCUCCCAAUCUGUGGGAAGGUUACCAUAUGUUUCUCAGUGGUAAAAGCUGAGAGUUUUGUAACUCAAAGCCUGUAGGCAAGAGUGAUUUUGUUCUUGAAUGAAGCUGUGAAGCAAGUUCAAGGUGUGUUAACAUUACAUUGUAUUUGUAGUGAUAGGAAUGGAAACUGGAGGUUUCUAUCUAGGAGUUCCUAGGUAUAGAUUGCAUUGGGUAGGGAUUAAGUGAAGAGUUGUAAACGGGUGAGUUUAACUCUGAAUUAAUACUGCUAAUAGUGGAUCUUCUUCCUGGCUUGGUAGCCCCCAGAUGUAGGUCAUGUUGGACUGAACUGGGUUAACAAUUUCCUGUGUUUGUUUUCCUUCUGCAUGUGUUUAUUACUGCCAUAACUCAGCAGGUAUUCCAGUCAGCUUAUCAAGAUGAUAACUGACCUGGCAUAUAGCCUUCUGUUUGAAUGUCAAUCAGAAAGCUGUAACAUUCAUCAGGGACAGUGCAUACUGAAUGAUAAGUAAGUUAACUUUAGUUCAGUAUGUUCUCUUCAAGGCUGAAGGAUCAUAGUGAAACUGUCAAACUGGAUGUUCUGACAGUUGAUACUGAAGGCUGAUACUGAAGUAGAGACUAGUUGGUCUUUUACAGUAUUGCAAACUUAGCACAGCACGUGUCCAGGAACAUAACAGACUCAGCAUAUGUUCUGGAUGUCGAACUGAAUGUUGUGACAUUCAUUCCCAACAGCAGGUGCUAAAGUGUAGGAUGAUUGGUUUUUCUGGGUCAGUAUUUUUCUCAGGCUAUUCUUCAGGGAUUCAAUAGCUUAGAGAAAAACCAGGAAACCAACUACCAACCUACAAUUAAUGAACCUAACAAAUAGUCUAGUUGUUAGCAAUCUAAUAAGUGGAAAUUAGAUUGACGUGUUCAACCUUUAAUUCAGGAAAUACAAGUAAAAGAUAUACACACUGGAACAAUGUAACAGAUGAUGUCCUCAAACAACAGUAAGACAUCAUGCUGAUAACUGUGGAAGAAAACAACAGAAGUGAGUGCUAGGUUUGAUUCCUGUUGAGUCCUUCUUCCUGAUGCAUAGAACCAGGUGUUCAUACAUUCUAGGGUGACAUAGAAUGAGAUGUCGUGACAUCUGUGAACUUGUGCAUAUUAGUACAGUGGUAAAUAACUAUCUUGCUGUAUUAGUUACAAUGUUAGAUCAGAUGUCAUGACGUGGAGUAGAACAUCUGAAUUCUGACUACACCAGAAUUUCAGUUGAACCAAAAACAUACCUUCAAGCCUCCAAACAUGAUUGUUGGAGACAAGCAAUGGAUUCUGAAAUUAAAGCUCUUCAGGAUACUCAAACAUGGACUAUUGUGGAUAUUCCUUUAGGCAAAACUCCAGUUGGUUGUAAAUGGGUAUACAAAGUAAAAUACCAUGCCAAUGGAUCUAUUGAACGCUACAAAGCUCGCUUGGUUGCUAAGGGUUAUACUCAAUUAGAAGGUGUAGAUUAUUUUGACACUUUUUCUCCUGUUGCUAAAAUAACUACGGUUCGAGUUCUCUUGUCUCUUGCAGCUAUAAAACAUUGGCAUCUGGAGCAAUUGGACGUUAACAACGCCUUUCUCCAUGGUGAUUUACAAGAGGAAGUUUAUAUGUCUCCUCCUCCUGGCUAUGAUAAUUUUGGAUCUAAUAAAGUUUGCAGGCUCAACAAAUCUUUGUAUGGACUAAAGCAGGCUAGUAGACAGUGGCAUGCCAAAUUAUCUUCAACCCUUCUUUCUUUGGGUUUCUCUCAGUCCGUGGCAGAUCAUUCGUUGUAUACCAAGCAAACAAAUCACAGGUUUACUGCUUUUUUGGUUUAUGUUGACGAUAUUGUGUUGACAGGUGAUUCUCCUUCAGAAAUUGAAUUUGUCAAGUCUUGUUUGCAUCAGAAAUUUCACAUCAAGAAUCUUGGCAAUCUGCGAUAUUUCCUUGGCCUGGAAAUAGCACGAUCAACAUCUGGUAUGUUCCUUAAUCAAAGGAAAUAUGUGCUUGAACUACUUGAAGAUACAUGCCUGCUUGCUGCCAAACCUGUCUCGACGCCCAUUGAUCCACACUUGAAGCUAUCCUCCACUGAUGGUGAACCAUUGGAAGAUCCCUCCACAUACCGCAAGCUCGUUGGACAAUUAUUAUAUUUGACAAAUACGCGGCCUGAUGUUUCUUUUACAGUGCAGCACCUCAGCCAAUAUGCGGCUAACCCGCUGAUCCCUCAUUACCAAGCCGCUCUUCGUGUUUUGCAGUACUUGAAAGGGUGUCCAGCUCAUGGAAUAUUUUUCUCCAGCACUAGCCUCUUAAAACUUCAUGGUUUUGCUGACUCCGAUUGGGCACGCUGUUCGGAUACUAGGAAAUCUGUGACAGGGUUUUGCGUUUUGUUAGGUAAUUCUCCCAUUUCAUGGCGCUCUAAGAAGCAGAAUACUGUUUCCCGUUCUUCAACUGAAGCGAAGUACCGUGCUCUUGCAUCUUUGACAUGUGAGGUUCAAUGGCUUUCUUACCUCUUUGCUGAUUUUUAAAUUACAUUUCCUACUCCUGCAUCCUUAUACUGUGAUAGCAAAUUUGCCAUCUAUUUGGCACAUAAUCCUACAUUUCACGAGCGCAGGAAGCACAUUGAGCUGGAUUGCCACGUUAUUCGCGAGAAACUGCAUUCCAAACUUAUUCAUCUUCUUCCAGUUCCUUCAGAGUCCCAGCUAGCAGACGUAUUUACCAAGCCACUUCAUGCACCACUUUUUAAUUCCUUCAUGUCCAAGUUGGGUUUAUGCAACAUACAUACUCCAACUUGUGGGGAGGUAUCAACAUAAAAAUAGUGGAGUUAGUUAUUUAGUUACUUUUUAGUUGGUGCCAACUGUGAUAAGUUAAUCUUUUUUUUCUGUUUUGCCCUUGUAAUCUUUUAGUAUAUAUGGCUGUACAACAUUGGUUCAGAUAAGAAAUAAUGAGAAAAUUCUACAAUUACUUUUAAUCCUUUUCUUCAAUGAACCGUUUCUCUCUCAUCUACAUAUGUUACAUGAGAUUCAUAAGUCAUGCCUUAAUGUUUGGAUAUCAUAUUUUAUUUUUUUAUUUUUUUCAUAAUUAGUUUUUUUUUAGUUUUAUAUAUAUUUCUCAUCUAAAAUAAUUUUAUUCGACGUGUAUCAAACCCUAAAUAUAGAUAUUUCUCUAAAACUUUCUCACCAUGCAUUGAUUUUGUGAUUGUUAACUAUAUUUUUUUUAUGGACACAACAUUUAAAAAAAUAUGAGUUUAAUUUCCAUGCACUUCGAAUAUAAAGAGUUUUACACUAUCAAUCAAUCACUUCUAAUUAUAUCUGUCAAUUUAGAAGUAACCUAAAAGUAAAAUAUUUGUAUUAAAUUGACAAUUGUUAUUAACUAAAAGCGUAGAAUAUUUGAAUCCCGCCUCAAUCAUCAUUUGUCAGAACUAUUUGGAGUCAGCUCCUUAGCUUGGGCAGGGCAUUUAAAUUCAAAUAAUAUUAUAUUUAUUAAAAUUUAGUAUAUUUCUCAUUAUAUUUUAAGGCACCUAUUUUGUUGAAAGAUUUGCAUCUUAUGAAAGAGUUAGUGAGUUUGAUCGAGGGCAAGUGUUGAUCACGAAAUUUAGUAUAUUUUAUGAGUUUUAUUUAAAUAAAACAGUGUCGAUGAAAAAGAUGUUUAAGAUGAGAUUGAAGGUCAAUGGUGAUAGUUGAUGUUGUAGACAUCAUCUAUUUGUUUGAGAGGGUGUCUUUUGAUUAGAUUGUUGUUCUUUGGUGAAUAACAUUUUUCUAUGGAUAAAUAUUUUGAAUAAACAUGUUCGGCAGUGAAACGUACUAUAUCAUAUAUGAUUAUCACUUGCUAAAUCGAGAAUUUGUAGAAAAAUUUAUAGUUCCCACUAAAUAUGUUUUUGAACAAAUACGUCUCUCUCUCUCUCUCUCUCUCUCUCUCUCUCUCUCUCUCUCUCUCUCUAUAUAAAUAUAUAUAUAUAUAUAUAAUAUAUCUUUAUAAUAUAAAUUAUAUAUAUAUAUAUAAUAUCUAUUAUAUAUACUUCUAUCGUUGGCGGCUAUAUUAAAAUUGAUUAUUGUAAUGUCAUGGUUUUUCAUUGAAAGCAUUUCGCCCAUACACGCCUCAUAUUUGGUGGAUUAUGUAAUGUUACUUUGAACUUAUGCUUGGGGGACUAUGUAAUGUCAUGGUCUUCCGAUGAAUCACUUAGGGGACUAUGUAAUGUCAUGGUCUUCCACUAAAAUCACUUCGGCUUUAUACACUUGGUACUUUAGAAACUAUAUAGUAGUAAAUCUAUUUUGACAUCAUGACAUUGAGAUAGACACCACAUAUAAAAGCCCGCAAAUAUCCCGGAGAGUACCCAUAAUAAGUGGGUGGAAUAUAGGAUACCUAAAAUGAGGUCAGAUAAGUUCUCCGAAAAGAGACAAAGGUGAGGCCCAUUAGAUUUAAGACCAACAUGUUUUACAUGAGGAGAUCAAUUUGGUCAGCUGACCUAGCAUUGAAGUGAAUGGGAUAACCCAGUAAAAGGGCUUUAUUACAUAAAAUAAUACAUUUAAGGCAGAUUAAUGAGCACUAUGAGUCAGACUCAGACAAAGAAACAAGAGCAUUCAUGGUCAUUAAGUGGGUAUUAAGCACACAUGUUACUCAAAUUCAUAUACAUACCAAUGGUAGUGAAGGCAGAAGACAAACAAUCCAUACACGAUAAAAUUGAGAUUUUACUAGCCAUAUCUAGUAUAGUUACUUUGGUGUACUUUUCAAGUACAAUUACCAAUAAAAUUAAGUUUUAAGCAACAUAAACUAUAUCUUUUAACUAAAUAAAUUGUAAUAGUUUAAAAUUUAAUUAACAAGCUGGAAUAGCUCAGUUGGUUAGAGCGUGUGGCUGUUAACCACAAGGUCGGAGGUUCAACCCCUCCUUCUAGCGUUUUAAUUUUGUUUUUUUGUUUUUUGACAUGUCAGAUAUAACCGAAUUAUAAUUUUGGAAGCACAUCAAAAUUAUUAUGUUCUUUUCACAAAACCCAUACACAAAGUUGGAGGUUAAACCCCCCAUUCUAGCGUUUUUAAUAUAUAUUUUUAAAAAAAUUGACACGUCAAGUAUUACCCCACAGAGUCUUUUUUUGCAUGUCUAAUAUUAGAAAUAGCAUAAUGAAAAUAUACAAAAGAUUUCAAAUGAUGACAAGUCCAAACUUAAAAUAUACUUGAAUGAAAAAUGUACAGAUGAUGAUGUAGAUAUUCUUCAAUAUUAAAAAAUAAAAAUAGUUAUCAUUUUUUUUCAACUUUCUACAAUAACUUUACACAUUUUAAGUAUUCCAAACAUAAUAGUUGCUUUUGAAUUUUAUAGCUUGUAUUUUGCAUAAGUAUAAGAAUUGUUUAUCAUCUGAAAUUGUGCAAGCUUUAAUUUGUACACAUAAUUGGUUGCAUCAUUUUAAAAUAGUUGGACCUUCAAGUGAGAAAUAAAAUCCCACAAACCCUAAGUUUGUUCUUGACUCCAGAACCUCCAAAAAUCUUGAUCAAGUAACUAACCAUGUCGCUUCAAUUCACCAGUUGUUGCUACUUCUUUGCAAGACAUCCCUUGUCCUAAGACUUUCAUCCGACUGAAUUAAUCCCAAUCGCAUGAUCAUGUAACCAACAAUGUCGCUUCAAUUCACCUGUUCUUGCUACUUUCUUGCACGACCUCCUUGUCUCAAGGCUUUCACCCGACUGAAUUAAUCCCAAGCGCACACUUGUUGAACCAAAGAUUUGUCAACACGGUCCACCGUUUCACGCUACUCCCUUGCACGACACACCUAGUCUCAAGGCUUUCACUCGAUCGGAUCCGAAUUGCACAAUUUUGUCCAAAACCUUCAAACCCUAAAGAUCUUGAAGGAAAAUCCACCUCGAUUUUCUCGGUACAACAAACCUAAUUGGACGUUAUUAAUCCUAAUCAAGAUGGUAAUCAAUCAAAAAAUGAUUAUGUGUAGUUUGAUUGUAUGUAUGCAUAAAUUGAAUUGAAGAUGAUGAGAUACUUUGAAAUCCUAGAUUCAUGUAGGUUUUACUCACUCUAGAAACCUUACUAGAAAAUGAUGCAUGUAUGAAGUAUUUACAUGCAUAGGUGAUUUAGGUAAAAAAGGAAUGCCAAUAACUUGGAGAAAAUAUGAAUUUUUCAAAAAAUUUAUCGUAUAGGUCGACCUGUAAGAUAUAUGCGUCGACCUGUCAAGGUCAUGCGUCAACCUAUUCAAGGUCAUGCGUCGACCUGUAACAGCUAUGUGAAUCCUAUGUGUCGAUCUGAGGAGUCAAUCAUAUAAUGUAGUUUUUACAUAGAACAGGGAUUACAGGUCCCCUCACAUCUUUGACAUAGAACAGGUUAAUACCGCGACAUACAUGUCGACCUAUAACAAUGAAAAUGUUUAUAUAGGUCGACAUGUAGACAACAUGUGUCGACCUGUAGACAACAUGUGUUAACCUAUAAUGUAGUUUUUUACAAUAAUUUAUUUUUCAUGCAUUUUUGAUGCACAAAACCUUUCUCGAGAUGUUUCAAAAUUCUUUUAUGCUUCCUAAUUCUAAGAUGCACAUAGACAAUCAGAGGAUACCGUCCAAUAUACAUUAACGCUAAAGUAUUAUAAUUUUGACAUCAUACAAAAUACAUUUAAAAGAAGUUGUACUCACACAAGUCACUCAAAGCAUAAGGUUUUUCUUUCCCACAUUGAAUAUUUGAGUGUCAAAUAAGCUCUCUUUAAUCCACAUUGGCUCGAAGUCAUAAGACUUGAGUACGAAGCUUUGCUAAAGAACUAAACUUAGACAUUGACCACUCUUCCUCCAAAUCAAAAACUUAUAAGAUACAUGUGGAUUUUCAAGGUUAAAUAAGUACAAUGCUCAACUGGUUGCUAAGGGGUUUCAUCAACGAUUUGAGUUUGAUUUUAAUGAAACUUUUUCUCCCAUUAUUAAAUCUGUAAUAAUUCGAGUUAUUCCCACUUUAACUUUUACUCACAAAGGAGAGCUUCAACAAAUUAGUUUGAACAAAUAGUUAUGAUAUCCUAAUAUAUAUGAUGUUCGUGUGAGCGAAAUCCUUGUUUCACGACUCUUCACCACUGCCAUCCUAAUAAAUUAAAUUAUUAAUGAUCAAUCAUAUACACCAGUUUUGUAAGGGAAUAUAAUUUGUAGCUAUAUAAUACAUAUUUACUUCUGUUUUCUAAAAAGUUAUUAGUCAUUGUUUAUUCAAUGAAGUAUUAAAUAAUUUUUAAAUUUUAUAAAAAUUUGUCGCGUUGAUUUAUUCAAUAAAAAGAAAUUAUGUCACAGUUAAAUUACUUUUUUUUUGUUAUUAUAAUAAAUGUAAUAAAUUAGUAUUAAACAAGAUAAUUUAUCACAAAAUUACAUUUCAAAUAAUUGUAUCAUCAUUCUUUAAUGAAUAAAAUUAAUACAAAUUAAUUUACUAUCAAGUAUGAAUUUACUUUUAUUUAGACAAGUUCCAAGUAUGAUUUUACUUGACCGAGUGUUUAGUCUACUAAUUAACAUUUCUUUCAUUAAUUAUAAAAUAAUCAUUUUUAAUUUUCUUGUCCUCCUAAUAGUUACAUUUGGGUGUUUACAUAUUUUUGGCCAGUAAGAAAAUGGAUAUAAGCUGGUUGUGUAGGUCCCACUCUGAUGAUAUUGCUAUGGCUAUGCCCAUGGUAGUACAAGUUUAGAGGGAUAAACAAAACUGUCAACAACACAACAAAGGAAAUUUCUCUCAUCACUCCAAUUCCACAUGGACACCAUCCCUACUUCCAUCAACAGGUUUUCCAUUCUCUCUCCCUCUCCUUGAUUCUCAAUUGAAAUUCUGAAUUGUGAAAUUUGUUAUUUUUGCAGUGGUUUGGGAUGGAGUUCUUCCUCGUUGUUUCAGCAAUCAAAUUGCUUCAACCUACUCUCUCUUCCUCCUAAACGAAAACCUUCUCUCACUAAGUUUUCUCUCACUUGCUCUGCCGCCUCUUCUUCCUCUGGUAUUCUCUACUUUUUUCAAUCAGUUUCCGCUUCUAGGUUUCUCUCAUUUUUGCUCUUUUCUGUUAAUUAAUUGUUCUCAAUUUGAGUUUCGUUUCUUUUCUUUUCAAUUUGAAAUGUAUAGUGUAUAGUGUGUUUUAUACCGUAUCAUUUUUUAUAUAUUUUCAGAUCCUCUUUUGGUUAAAGCUGCCAGAGGAGACCCGGUUAGUCGUCCUCCUGCAUGGAUGAUGCGUCAGGCAGGAAGGUACAUGGCUGCUUACAAAAAGUUAGCGGAGAAGCAUCCGUCCUUCCGAGAGAGGUCAGAGACGACUGAUCUCAUUGUAGAAAUUUCUUUGCAGCCUUGGAAAGCUUUCAGGCCUGAUGGAGUAAUUAUUUUCUCUGACAUCCUUACACCUCUACCUGCAUUCGGGAUUGACUUUGACAUAGAAGAUGUGAGGGGACCUGUAAUACAGUCGCCUAUCCGCUCCGAGGAGGCAUUAAAGGUUUUGCACGCAAUUGACUUCGACAAGCUUAGAUUUGUAGGAGAAUCACUUAAAACCCUGCGGAAAGAGGUAGAAAUUGAUUGCAACAAACAUGUCUUCCCUUUAUUCCUAACUUGGCUAUUUUGCCAAGGUUGUUUUUCUUACUUGUUUUCUUUUAUUUAGGUUGGUGGUGAUGCUGCUGUUUUAGGUUUUGUGGGAGCGCCUUGGACAUUGGCAACAUAUAUAGUUGAAGGCGGUACAACACGCACGUAUACUAACAUUAAAAGCAUGUGCCAUACGGCACCACACAUAUUGAGGACUCUACUUUCUCAUUUGACAAAGGCAAUAGCAGAUUACAUCGUUUUCCAAGUCGAAUCUGGGGCUCACUGCAUACAAAUCUUUGAUUCAUGGGGUGGACAGCUACCUCCUCAUAUGUGGGAACUUUGGUCAAAGCCUUAUAUCAAAGAGGUAUGCAACUAAAGGAAAAUGACCACUUCUUUCUAGCAUCAUAAAAUUGUUGUAGGUUUUCAAGCUUUUUGCUGUUAAGCCUAAUUUAAACCAAUUUCGUUAUUGUCGAAAGGAAAAUAGUAUGUAGUUUGCCAAGUUUUGCAACAGUUCGGUUUUAUGUUAAGUUAGUUAGUAUAUAUUUACCAAGUCUCCAUGAUUCUUCUUGGUUGGUUGGCCUUGUAAAUAUUAUGAUUGGUUAAAAGGUUUUAAUUUAUAAACUUCUUCUUGGUUGGUCCGCUAAUGGAAAAAAAACUUGUUAUUUGCAAGCUUGACUGUUACAUAAGCUCGUUGGAUACAAAUCAUGCUUCCGACUUCAGGGGAGAAAACUUGAAAUUAGAACUCCGUUGCUACAUCUUCAUAUUUAAAUAUUUCAUUACGAUGAUUAUUACUAUUAGUUUCUUACGAAAUAGAAAGUUCACACUAAAUAGAAAAGUCUAGGUUGACUGCUGUUAAGUCAUUCUCUUUUUAUUUAUUUAUUUCUGUUAGUUAUACACUUCUUUCUUUCUGAACUUCUAGAUUGUAAAUUUGGUGAAGAAAAAGUGCCCAGAGACACCACUUGUUCUUUAUAUAAAUGGAAAUGGUGGCCUUCUCGAGCGUAUGAUAGAUACUGGAGUCGAUGUUAUUGGACUAGACUGGACAGUGGAUAUGGCUGAUGGAAGAAGAAGAUUAGGUAGCGGGAUUGGCGUGCAAGGAAAUGUGGACCCUGCUUUCUUAUUCUCUCCUCUUACUGCCCUGACAGAAGAAAUUCAGAGGUUGGUGACGUAACCACCAUUUACUUUUUAGUAUUCUUAUAAUCAUUCUAUGGCCGUCAGCAUAUAGAUUCUAGGGGAGGCUACGUCAUCGGAGCACUGUUACAUGGCAUAGCAGUUUGUUCAAAUUCCACUAUGCUACAUUGUUACAAUGCUGUUAUAGCCACGGAACAAUUAACAUUUUGUUCAAAUACCACUACACUAUAACACUAUAGCGCUACUAUAGCUGCUAUUUGACAACACUGCACCGGAGUGAUUCCUAAGUGACCCUCCUAGGUGAUCCAGCAGAAUGAAAAACCAAUGUGUUAAAUGCAUUACCAGGAUCCUCCAAGUAAAUGUACAGGCUGCAUCUUCUCUGUUUAUGAUCCAGUGUCUAAGAUGUAUAGGUUAAACUGCCCAUAGUAUUUGCUUAAUUGACCGAAGAACUGAAAAUAAUACUGACAAGGACGGCAUUAAACAAAGAAUGAUAGAAAUGUUCUUCAAGGAAUUGUUGCUAUAUUAUUUAUCUUUUAGUUUCAAUUAUGAAUCGAAUCAAUAAGACUUGUGUGCCUUUGGUAGAAGGCCAAAGUUUUGUCCGGUGACAGAACCUGAUUUCUCUAAUUUUUUUUUAUGGUACUAGCUUUUUGUCCAAUUAAACCCUCAUAUUUAUAAGAGUAGAGAAACAAAUUUUAUUGAUGAAUUAUCUUGAUUUCUUAAUAUGAUGAUUACACGUAACUGUCAGGGUUGUGAAGUGCGCGGGACCUAGACGACACAUUCUUAAUCUCGGGCACGGUGUUCUCGUUGGUACACCUGAAGAAGCUGUUGCACAUUUCUUUGACGUAGCCAGAAGUUUGAAGUUUGACACAGUCUCUCAAAAUAACACUGCAAAUGUAGUUUAAACGAAAAUGCCAUUAGUGUAGCCACUUGUUGUACUUUUCCCGGUAGAUCAAGCCAUUUCUGGAAGAGUGCAGGUUCAGUCUUUCCUAAUACAACUAUGCGAUGAUGAUCAAUUGAUCGUUGUCUGAGAAUUUACACAUUGCUGUGUCGGCUAAUUUAUGAAAAUAGUCUGCAUUUUUCUGUAUUUUGUAAUUGUUUAUGAUAAAUCAAUAAUACUAAUUAGAGGAUUCCUUCCAUUGUUUGAACACUAGUUAUGCUUUCAUUACAGAGAAAACACAAUAAACUUUUGAUUUCAUUACAGAUAAAACAACGCUAACAAACUUAAGGUAACUUAUGAGCCAACUGUAUUAAGUUAUUUCUUGGCUGCCAUAGAAAUUUUGAAUGCAUUUUUUAUUCUGAAACAAAAACUAUACAAUACAUUCCUUAUAUUUAUUUAACUUCUGUUUCUUUUGAAGGGUGUCUCCAUGCACACAGUAAAAUGUUUCACAAGAAUUUUCAGGCCUGUCAAUUAAACUUGUCACUGGAAGAACGGUUGCCAUAUUGGUGUAGAGCCUCAUUCAGAGUUUUGAGAGCCUUGUCAUAAGACACAAACCCCAUAAAAAAGAACUCAUAACCAUCAACUGUCACAAUCUCGAUGUAUUUUUCUUUCGAGUUAAAUAUAUUAGCUGAAGGACUAACUGCCCUCAGCUGAUCGAGCUGCACUACCACCUACAAGUUACGUCACAUACAGAAUCAACACUUGAUCGAUACCGUAAAAUCACUGAUACAUGUUAUCGAUGUUAAAGAUGCAAUGAGAUAAGGAAGUACCUUAUAGUAGAUACAUUGAUGCUGCAAGGAGAAUGGAUAGUGACAGAGUGGAUAGUCACUGCAGAAUGCCAAUCUUUUAGUUGUUAUGUAAAGUGUUCCAAUCACAGGUCCAGAGAUUUUUGAUAUGUAACAAACAUGUUGCUUUAACAGUUUCUCUCCUGGAAUAACCCCAAAUGUUUGCUGAAAUAGCUUAUCAGAUCCCCCAUUUGCAAUCAGUUUUGUUCCCUGAACUAGUCUAGCCAUUGCAGCAUCAGCUGGACUAGAACUCAUUCUGACUGUACUCAUUGAAAAUGGAUUCCAUUAGAAUAAAGUUAGAAUCACAAAUUUCAUCACAAAUUCAAAAGGAUACUAUCAUAAUUAAAUAGUUAUAUAUAUCAAAUGUGCAAUGCUUUUUUUUUUGUUGCCCCUAUAUUAGGCAACUUGUUACUAGCUUCCAAGGAGAUAUUAAUAUGAACAGAAAACUAUCAUCCAAAAAGUCACUAUAAAUCCAAUCAUGGAACCAAUCAUGGGACCAAUCAAUAAUGUGUUGUCUAUUACCAAUUUAUUUUCCUUUCUCCUUCUUCACUUUAAUAUACAUUUAUUGAAUCUAGAUCUCCAUUCUUACACAAACACUUGCCUUCACUCUUCUCCAACUAUCACUACAAUCCAUCAUCAUGACCUCAACCACCGCACCACUCCUUCCAUGGAAGGUUCGCUUCACCAUGUCUACCAUCUCUUCUCUCAUCUCAGUCUCUCACCGUUCCAACGACACCGUCAACCGCCGUCUCUUCAACUUUUUUGAUCGAAAAACCUCUCCUAACCCUAACUCCAUCGAUGGAGUCACUUCCUCUGACGUCAUCGUAGACCCCACACGCGAUCUAUGGUUUCGCCUUUUCAUCCCCUCCUCCAACCCCAUCUCCGACGGGUCUCUCCCCGUCUUUGUGUUUUUUCACGGCGGCGGUUUUGCAUUAUUUUCUCCGGCUUCCAUCACAUACAACGCUGUUUGUCGUUUAUUCUGCCGUUCGUUCUCCGCCAUCAUUGUAUCUGUUAAUUACCGUCUUGCCCCUGAGCAUCGUUAUCCUUCUCAAUACGACGACGGUUUGGCAAUCCUUAAAUUCCUCGAUCAAAAUAACAACGUCUUAGGAAAAUCAGCUGACAUCAGCAAAUGUUUUUUGUCGGGUGAUAGUGCGGGUGGUAAUUUAGCUCAUCAUGUAGCGGUCCGGGUUUCCUUAGAAAAGUUUCAGGUUUUGAAAAUUAUCGGUUUGGUUUCAAUCCAACCUUUUUUUGGAGGUGAGGAAAGAACCGAAUCUGAAAUCCGAUUCAACCGGGUACCUAUUGUUUCAAUCGAUAAAACUGAUUGGUAUUGGAGGAUGUUUUUGCCAGAUGGGUCAACCCGUGAUCAUGAAGCGGUUAAUGUUUCUGGACCUAAUGCAAUGGAUAUUUCGAAUGUGGAUUAUCCGAGUACCCUUUUGUGUGUUGGUGGACUCGAUCCAUUAUUGGAUUGGCAAAAGAGAUAUUAUGAAUGGUUGAUAAAAUCCGGAAAAGAAGUGGAAUUAAUUGAAUAUCCAAAUAUGAUUCAUGUGUUCUUUUAUUUUCCAGAAUUACCAGAGACAUCACAGUUUAUUUCUAGAGUUAAGGAUUUCAUGAAUAAGCAAAUGGCUCAUGUGAAUUAAGGGCUUAAAUAAUUUGGUUUGUAUGCUUGCCUAAAAAAACAAAUAAAGUGUAUCCUGUUUUGUUUAUAUAUAUAGGACGAAUGCUAGAGAAAAUAAGAUUACAUGUAAUAUAUGUUUAUAAUUAAUGUAUUUGGUGGUGUGUUGAUAAUAUUCAGAUAUAUUGAUUAUUCAAUAAAUUUAAAAAAUAAAUUUUUUCUUAUAAAUAGAUUAAAG
rnacentral:lncRNA from 1 species